rnacentral:lncRNA from 1 species
CUCCACCUGCUCAGUGAAAGGUUUUCAAGAAGCACCAGCAGCAAGAGACGCAGUGGCAAGCCUUCACCACAACACUUCACACUGCCUAAUCUUCGUCUAUUAAAGUUUGGUGAGAUGAUAAAGACUAUAUAUGGAUGUCCUGCCGCCACUGUUCCCGGGGUUUUCUCCGGGCCGCCUCCCCCCGGCGGUCCCCUAGCCAUCACCCUACCCCAACC